rnacentral:rRNA from 1 species
UAAGGAAUAUUGGUCAAUGGACGCAAGUCUGAACCAGCCAUGCCGCGUGGAGGAUGAAGGCCCUCUGGGUUGUAAACUUCUUUUAUUUGGGAAGAAACCCAUUUUUUCUAAAGUGGUUGACGGUACCAGAUGAAUAAGCACCGGCUAACUCCGUGCCAGCAGCCGCGGUAAUACGGAGGGUGCAAGCGUUAUCCGGAUUCACUGGGUUUAAAGGGUGCGUAGGUGGGCAGGUAAGUCAGUGGUGAAAUCUCCGGGCUUAACCCGGAAACUGCCGUUGAUACUAUCUGUCUUGAAUAUCGUGGAGGUGAGCGGAAUAUGUCAUGUAGCGGUGAAAUGCUUAGAUAUGACAUAGAACAUCAAUUGCGAAGGCAGCUCGCUACACGGUUAUUGACACUGAGGCACGAAAGCGUGGGGAUCAAACAGGAUUAGAUACCCUGGUAGUCCACGCCCUAAACGAUGAUUACUCGACAUAUGCGAUACACAGUAUGUGUCUGAGCGAAAGCAUUAAGUAAUCCACCUGGGAAGUACGACCGCAAGGU